GGUGAACGCUGGCGGUAGGCCUAACACAUGCAAGUCGAACGGCAGCACAGUAAGAGCUUGCUCUUACGGGUGGCGAGUGGCGGACGGGUGAGGAAUACAUCGGAAUCUACUUUUUCGUGGGGGAUAACGUAGGGAAACUUACGCUAAUACCGCAUACGACCUACGGGUGAAAGCAGGGGAUCUUCGGACCUUGCGCGAUUGAAUGAGCCGAUGUCGGAUUAGCUAGUUGGCGGGGUGAAGGCCCACCAAGGCGACGAUCCGUAGCUGGUCUGAGAGGAUGAUCAGCCACACUGGAACUGAGACACGGUCCAGACUCCUACGGGAGGCAGCAGUGGGGAAUAUUGGACAAUGGGCGCAAGCCUGAUCCAGCCAUACCGCGUGGGUGAAGAAGGCCUUCGGGUUGUAAAGCCCUUUUGUUGGGAAAGAAAAGCAGCAGGUUAAUACCCCGCUGUUCUGACGGUACCCAAAGAAUAAGCACCGGCUAACUUCGUG
rnacentral:rRNA from 1 species